rnacentral:rRNA from 1 species
ACGGCCCGCACUCCAACCCUAUGUGUACCGAACCUUGUUGCUUUGGCGGGCCCGCGGUGUCAUGCCGCUGCCGGCUCUCGCUGGCGAGUGCCCGCCAGGGAACACCUAAACUCUUGUUGUAACAGUGUCGUCUGAGCAUAAUUUUUAAUCGUUAAAACUUUCAACAACGGAUCUCUUGGUUCUGGCAUCGAUGAAGAACGCAGCGAAAUGCGAUAAGUAAUGUGAAUUGCAGAAUUCAGUGAAUCAUCGAAUCUUUGAACGCACAUUGCGCCCCUUGGUAUUCCGAGGGGCAUGCCUGUUCGAGCGUCAUUUCAACCCUCAAGCUCUGCUUGGUAUUGGGCUCUCGCGGGGGAUUCGGUCCCCGGCGUGCCUUAAAGCUAUCGGCGGUGGUGCCCUGCUUCGAGCGUAGUAAAGUUUAUUCUCUCGCUUUGGAGGUUGGGGCCUCACCCGCCGGGAAAACCGGGCCUCGCGCCCACUCAUUCAAAGGUUGACCUCGAAUCAGGUAGGGAUACCCGCUGAACUUAAGCAUAUCAAUAAGCGGAGGAA